GUAGGUGAACCUGCGGAAGGAUCAUUAACACGUAUCCAACGUUAAAAAACCCCGUGAACGUUAAACAUGGUUUAGGAUCACGCUACUAAAUCUACUCUGCGAAAGUGUAGAAUGCCGGACGAACGUCUACCAAUUUCCCUGCACUCGCCUGAGAAAAGCAAUGAGGAGGGACUAUUGUGACGAGGCCUUGUGUGUUGAUCGCCGUAAGGUACCACUUUUGUCUUAUUUGCAAGCAUAUGAGUGUCAGUGU
rnacentral:misc_RNA from 1 species